AGAUUGAACGCUGGCGGCAUGCCUUACACAUGCAAGUCGAACGGCAGCACGGGAGCAAUCCUGGUGGCGAGUGGCGAACGGGUGAGUAAUACAUCGGAACGUGCCCAGUUGUGGGGGAUAGCCCGGCGAAAGCCGGAUUAAUACCGCAUACGACCUACGGGUGAAAGCGGGGGAUCGCAAGACCUCGCGCUAUUGGAGCGGCCGAUGUCGGAUUAGCUUGUUGGUGGGGUAAAAGCCCACCAAGGCUACGAUCCGUAGCUGGUCUGAGAGGACGACCAGCCACACUGGGACUGAGACACGGCCCAGACUCCUACGGGAGGCAGCAGUGGGGAAUUUGGACAAUGGGCGCAAGCCUGAUCCAGCCAUGCCGCGUGCGGGAAGAAGGCCUUCGGGUUGUAAACCGCUUUUGUCAGGAAGAAACGGUCCAAGCUAAUACCUCGGCUAAUGACGGUACCUGAAGAAUAAGCACCGGCUAACUACGUAGCCAGCAGCCGCGGUAAUCUGA
rnacentral:rRNA from 1 species